CAGUAGCCGCGGGAAUACGAAGGGGGCUAGCGUUGCUCGGAAUGACUGGGCGUAAAGGGCGCGUAGGCGGCGAUCAAAGUCAGGCGUGAAAUUCCUGGGCUCAACCUGGGGGCUGCGUUUGAUACUUGAUUGCUAGAGUGGGGAAGAGGGUCGUGGAAUUCCCAGUGUAGAGGUGAAAUUCGUAGAUAUUGGGAAGAACACCGGUGGCGAAGGCGGCGACCUGGUCCUUGACUGACGCUGAGGCGCGAAAGCGUGGGGAGCAAACAGGAUUAGAUACCCCCGUAGUCCCUGUCUCUUAAAC
rnacentral:rRNA from 1 species